rnacentral:rRNA from 1 species
UACGGAGGGUGCAAGCGUUGCUCGGAAUCACUGGGCGUAAAGCGUGCGCAGGCGGUCUUUUAAGUCAGAUGUGAAAUCCCCGGGCUUAACCUGGGAACUGCGUUUGAAACUGGAAGGCUUGAGUGUGGCAGAGGGGGGUGGAAUUCCACGUGUAGCAGUGAAAUGCGUAGAGAUGUGGAGGAACACCGAUGGCGAAGGCAGCCACCUGGGCUAACACUGACGCUCAUGCACGAAAGCGUGGGGAGCAAACAGG